CCACAGAGCUAAAAAGGAGAAGCAAGUGAGUCUCCAAAACUAAGUGAAAAAGAUGUGUUUUGAAGAAAAGGGAGUGAGCAACUGUGUUGAGUGCUGAAGACAGGUCAAGUAUAAAGAGGGCUGAGAUUGGACCACUGGAUUUGGCAGCAUGGAGGUACCUGAUGCCACCAAUUCCUGAGUUUUUCUGCUGUUCAGUGGAGUGGACUAUCGCCUUCAAAUUAGCCUGGCCCUGGGCAGGAAGAGAGAGUACCUGGAUCACCAUGGCAAAAUCGGAGAAGGCGUCACAGAAGAGGAAGAUACGUAUGCGCUUCUUAAUGUGGCAUCAUCUCUAACAAAAUACUUGCAUAAUGCACAUACAUCAGCCACAGUGCCUGGGUCAGCCUCCACGGUAUCUUCAGGGCAAGCAUCACUUUCCAUUUCCCAAAAGGAAUAGCUACUUUCUAUUUUGUUUUUGGAAAAGGAAGGUAGGGCAGAGUGAGCCCUAAGAGAAACAUCCAGUGGAAACAUGUUUUAGAGUCUGCUAGAUUCACUUCAGAGCCCGUGAUUCUCUUGCAUGUAUUCCUGAAAGUGAUUAUAUUAACCAGACACAAAUGGGAAACAUUUUACAUUAAUGACUAUAGCUGUGUUCCCUUUAUCUUGCCAAAGAAAGUGUCUAUAUGUUUUCCUUUUAUUCUGUUAAUUAUUCAGCAUCAAUGAAA